GGCUAAUAAUGUGCUAUGAAUCUAAUUACAGGUUGACUGACAAAAGUUUAGUAAUGGACUGGGGAUUUGUGAAGGGUUACGUUAGGAGCUGGCUUGAUUGGGCGGUUGAAUAUGUAAGAGAUGACCCAUACGACUUUAUCUCCAGAUUAUUUAUGAUGUUGCUCCCAAUGUUUAUAAUCAGUGGUUUAUUAUCUUGUUAUUUAAUUCGUGAGAUAGAUAGAGAAAAUAAAAGGAAAGAAAAACAAG